rnacentral:rRNA from 1 species
UACAGAGACUGCAAACGUUAUUCGGAUUCACUGAGCGUAAAAAAUGCGCAAACAAUUGGGUGUGUCAGAUGUGAAAUCCCAAGGCUUAACCUCGGAACUGCGUCUGAAACUACUCGACUAGAGUACUGGAGAGGGUAACGGAAUUCACGGUGUAGCAGUGAAAUGCGUAGAUAUCGUGAGGAACACCAAAGGCGAAGGCGGUUACCUGAACAGUUACUGGCGCUCAGGCACGAAAGCAUGGGGAGCAAAAGGG